CAGGGCGGGGCUGCACCUGUGCAGGUGAGGACGGGAGGAGGCUGGUUUCACUGAUGUGAGAGAGAGGGCAGAUCUAUCUAUCAAACUCUCGGUAUUCAGCGGGCGUUUCCUGAAGGCUGAGCGUUUUGUAGGUCCGUGAAAUACUCCUGUACUGAGCGAGGAAGGGUUACAAACUAUUUACCAGAUUUGACUGCUUUGGUAAGGAAGAAGGAUUUCACCCAGAUAACCCUGUGAAGUUUGUCCAGGAAACUAACAUCAUGCCGAAAAAAUCAAGUCGGCCUCAUGCAUAUGGUGGCAGACAUCACCACCGAUCCUCCCAUCGCACACCUUCUUACCACCCUGAUGAAAUGCUUCACUUUUACCGCUGGACGUCACCCC